AACUCUCACCACUGCAAUAACCAGAGCCACAGCAGGAUCCUUAAUCUGCUGAGCCACAGGGGAACUCCCUGUCUUACUCUUUUUAAGUUGCAAAAAUUCUUUAUAUAUUCUGAGUAUAGUUCCUGUGUAUGAUGCAAGUGUUGCAAGUGUUUCCUCCCAGUCUGUGUCCUGCCUUUUUCUUUUCUUCUCUUUUCUUUUUCUUUUUAUGGCCACCAUCUGUGGCACAUGGAGGUUCCCAGGCUAGGGGUUGAAUGGGAGCUGUAGCUGAGGCUCACGCCACAGCCAUGAUCCGAGCCACAGCUUUCGGCAAUGCCAGAUCCUUCACCCGCUGAGCAAGGCCAAGGGAUCGAACCCGCAUUCUGACAGAUGCUGUGUUGGGUUGUUAACCCUCUGAGCCACAAUGAGAAUGCCUGCCUUUUUGCUUGCUUAAUGUCUUCUUUUGAAGAUGCUAACAUUUCAUUUUGAUGAAGCCCAAUUGGGGGCAUGCUGUCUCUCUCUCUUUUUUUGAAAUAAAUUAUGCUUGUUUCUGUUCUGAGAAAUUCUGGCCUUUCCCAAGAUUACAAACAUAUUCUCCACUUCUUUGGAAUUUUUAAUGUAAAACUAUAUGGUUUUAAAUUAAGGCCAAAUUUAAAUUUUAAAUUUUGAUCCAUUUUAAAUUAAUUUUUUUGAAUUUUAUGAAGUAAGGGUCAGUGUUCUUUUUUUUCUCUCUCUUUCACCCUCCCUCCCCCCAAAUGUGGAUAUCCAAUUGCUCUGCUUUGGUUUGUUGAAAACUUUUUUCCUCCAAUGAUUUACCCUUGCAACUUUACCAAAAAUGAAUGCACCUAACGUGUAAAUCUAUUUCUGAACUCUUCUUUUCCAUUGAUCUAGUAUGUCUGCCUUUAAAUCAGUCCCCAAAGGUCUUGAUUAUGUUGCUUUAUAGUAAAUCUUGAGAUCAAGUAGGGUAAAUCCUCCAAUUUUGUUAUUUUAAAAAGUUGCUGUGGGAGUUCCCUGGUGGCUCAGUGGGUUAUGGACCUGGUGUUGUCACUGUUGUGGCUUGGGUUACUACUCUGGAGUGGGUUCAGUCCCUGGGCUGGAAACUUCUGUAUGCUGGAGGCAUGGUCAAAAAAGAAAAAUUGCUGAGGAUAUUCCAGGUCCUUUGCCUUUCCAUGUAAAUCUCAAUAUCACCCUUCCAAUUUGUAAUAAAAAGCUUGGUGCAAAUUUUGAUCGGGAUUGUGUUGAAUAUGUAGAUGCAUUUGGAGGGAAUUGCCAUUUUAGCAAUACUGAAUCUCUCCUCACCAUAGUGUAUCUCUCCAUUUAUUUAGGUCUUCAACUUUUUCAACAAUAUUUUGUAGUUUUAGUAGCAAGACACUGGCUUUGGAUGUCUUUCAUUAAAUUUGUACUCAGGGCUUUUACAUAUUUUUGGCACUAUUGUAAAUGGGAUUGUUUGCCUUAAAUUUCAGUUGCCAAUUAUUUGUUCCCAAUAUAUAGGAAUUCAAUUAUAUAUAUAUAUUCCCCCCCUUUUGGCCACACCCACAGCAUGUGGAUGUUACUGGGCCAGGGAUUGAAAUCUGAGCUGCAGCUGUAACCUACACCAUAACAGUGGCAAUGCCAGAUCCUUUAACCCACUGAGCUGGUCUGGGGAUCGAACCCAUACCACUUCAGCGACCCAAGCCUCUGCAGUUAGAUUCUUUACCAACUGUGCCACAGCAGAACACCCAUAUUUUUGAGUUUCAGUUCUGACUACUUUGUGGAGAACUUUUACAUAUGCUUUAGGAUUCUGUUUUAUAAUUUUUGUAGGUAAAUCUCAAAAGACAUAUGACUUAUUGUCAAUUUCAAAAAGUAGGAAAAUGAAUUGAGAGGAAACACACUAAAAUCUUUUGGAAGAUUAUCAAGCUUACCUGCAUAAAAUAUUGAAUGAGAAAUAGUGGAAGAACAGAAUAGCAGCUGCAGUUUCUAAAGGGAAUUGGCAGUGAGAAGUAGCCUGCUUCUCAGCUGGGGUCACAGACCUCCAGUUAAAUAUGGUGGUUUGACCACAUGUGUCUUUCUUUCCCUGAAGGCUGCCGUAGUCAUGUCGGGAGUAUAAAAGAUGUUAACUCCUAAGGAAAAAGAUAACAGGAGAGAAGAUAGUGACAAAGGAUUCUGACAGUUUUGUUUUCAGGGCUGCAUCCGAGGCAUAUAAAAUUUCCCAGGCUGGGUGUCAAAUCAGAGCUGCAGGUACCGGCCUACACCACAGCCACAGCAAUGUGGGAUCUGAGCCGUGUCUGCAAUCUACAACCACAGCUCAUGGCAACACUGGAUCCUUAACCCCCUGAGCAAGGCCAGGGAUUGAACCUUGCAUCCUCAUGGAUACUAAUUGUGUUCUUUUUUUGUUUGUUUGUUUUUUUGGUCUUUUUAGGGCCGCACCCAUGGCACAUGGAGGUUCCCAGGCUAGGGAUCAAAUCAGAGCUGCAGCUGCCGGCCUACACCACAGUGCACGGCAAUGCCAGAUCCUUAAUCCCCUAAGCAAGGCCAGGAAUCGAACCCGCAACCUCAUGGUUCCUGGUCGGAUCCAUUUCCGCUGCACCACGAUGGGAACUCUACUAAUCGUAUUUUUAACCCGCUGAGCCACAGUGGAAACUCCCUGAUAAUUUUUUAGAAAGGAGUGGUAAUUUGAGUUCAGAGGAAGAUAACAUAGUACCUGAAGAUAAAGAUGAGGUCAAGCCAGCUUGCGCCUGGCUUCAGAGUGCUUGGAGGUUCCUGGUAUUCCCAAAGGUG
rnacentral:lncRNA from 1 species